rnacentral:tRNA from 1 species
GCCCUAAUAGUAUAGUGGUCAUUACAAGGCUCUUGUAAAGCUUAAACCUUAGUUCGAUUCUAAGUUGGGGCA